GCCGCUCACGCCCGGUCGU
rnacentral:sRNA from 1 species